ensembl:misc_RNA 7SK 7SK RNA
GGAUUGGGAGGGCAAUCUGGUUGUGACAUCUGUCACCCCAUUGAUCGCCAGGGUUGAUUCAGCUGAUAUGACUGGCUAGGCAGUGUCCCCUUCCUCCCUCAGCACUCCACGCAUGUCCCUCCCAAAGCUGCAUGCUCAGUCAAUGAGGACGACCAUCGCCAAUAGAGGAGGACUGGUCUUCGGGCAAGGGUAUACACGUGGCCACGCUCCCCUGCUAGAACCUCCAAACGAGCUUUCAAGUUUCCUGAGUCUACUUAAUUUUGGAAUCAAAGGCUUUCUUUGUGGUUUUGUCACUUAGGCUUGAGAAAGCUUGUGUUCCACACUU